AUUGAACGCUGGCGGCAGGCCUAACACAUGCAAGUCGAGCGAGCGGCGGACGGGUGAGUAAUGUAUGCGGACUGCCUGAUAGAGCGGGAUAACUACUGGAAACGGUGGCUAAUAACGCAUACUACCGGAUAACCCAUAGGGGAUUAGCUAGUAGGUGGGGUAGAGGCUCACCUAGGCGACGAUCUCUAGCUGGUCUGAGAGGAUGAUCGGCACGAUUGGGACUGAGAAAGGCCCCGACCUCCAACGGAGGCAACAGCGGGAAAGAUUGCACAGUGGGCGCAAGCCUGAUGCAGCCAGGCCGCGGAGAUGGAGAAGUGCUUUGGGUUGUAAGGUACUUUCAGAGGGGAGGCGUUACCCGCAGAGGAAGCACCGGCUAACUCCGUGCCAGCAGCCGCGGUAAUAC
rnacentral:rRNA from 1 species